rnacentral:lncRNA from 13 species
AAAAUUCUGUCGUUGUUUAUUCCUAUAGGGUCUAUGGUUUGCAUUUUUAGAAUUUACCUUUUAAAAAAAUUAACCUCUGUGAGAUCAACCUCUCAAUCAACUUAAAAUUUCAAAGUCAUAAUGAGCAGGACUUUUCUUGGAUAAAAACUAAUCAAACUGUAUGUAUUAUCUUACUCCUUUCCAUGAUAAUGCUGGAUCCCUCUAGCCUCUCAGUGUGCAGACAUCAUUCUGCAGCCUUCCUCCUGGAUUUGCUUCUGCACACACGUUUCCUGGAUUAGAACCCUUGGUCCAGCUCUUGUCUAUACUGUGUGCUGUGCACAGUACCUGGAGAAGGUUAAGAGAACAGAUCCUCAAAAGGCAGCUUUGAGGUCAAACUUCCACAUACUCUGAGUCUGCUUAAAGCAACACAGUGUAACUCCUUUGAGGAUUUGAAUUUGCCAUCAGCUUUCCAGGUUUUGAUCCUGGUCAAAUAUUCUCCAAACUCUGUCCUAGCAUCUGCUUUGGGAGCACUCAAACUGCAUCAGGACGAUUGUGGAUAGUAAGACAGUAAGAACACAUCGGUCAUUCAAUGCAAUCCUUGUAUAUGCAAGCUAGAUUGAACCACCAGACCUCCCAGGAAGAGGCAGAGGCAGAGAGGAGGCAGAAGCAUAAGUGGAAGAAAGAGGAAGCUGAGCUAAGAGGGAGGAGUAGGCAUAAACACGCCCUUCCUCCCUUUUUCUCCUUUACAUUUCAGCUCAGGUGGGGGUACCCCUAACCCCAUGCCAUCUGUGUGGUUUUUCAGUCUCUUUUCCUCACCAUAUUGAGAUUGAAAGACCACACAAAUGGCAGAAUUCUCCCAGUCUUGGCCUAGAGAAGAGAGCAGGAGACACAGUGAUUUCCCCAGCAGUGAGAAAACAAUCUUAUUUAUUUUACCAUUUUGCCUCAUUCUUUGAAAGGCUGCUGACCCCCUAAUUAUGACAAAUUUAAG